rnacentral:rRNA from 1 species
UCCCCUAGUAACGGCGAGUGAAGCGGGAUGAGCUCAAAUUUAAAAUCUGGCUGGUUUACUAGUCCGAAUUGUAGUUUAAAGAAGCGUUUUCGGUGGCAGUCUCGGUAUAAAUCCUUUGGAAUAGGGUAUCAUAGAGGGUGAGAAUCCCGUCUUUGACUGAGAAUUUGCUACUAUGUGAUACGUUUUCAAAGAGUCGAGUUGUUUGGGAAUGCAGCUCAAAAUGGGUGGUAAAUUUCAUCUAAAGCUAAAUAUUGGCGAGAGACCGAUAGCGAACAAGUACCGUGAGGGAAAGAUGAAAAGAACUUUGAAAAGAGAGUUAAACAGUGCGUGAAAUUGUUGAAAGGGAAACGCUUGAAACCAGUCAUGUAGUUGGAAAAUCAGUGUUCAAUUGGGGGGAAUGGGGGAGGUGUGGACCGCAAGGCUGCUCUUUUCUAUAUCUCUUUUGUUGGGCAUGCACUUUUUCUUCCGCAGGUCAACAUCAGUUUCUUCUGCUGGACAAAACUCUUGAGAAGGUAGCAGCUUAGGCUGUGUUAUAGCUCUGGAGCGAUACAGUGGAGGGGACUGAGGUUUUCGCAGCAUGUGCUCUCGGGCAAGGCCAAUUGGGUGCUAUGGGAUCGUUCGGGGUACAAUACAUGUAUUUUGCUUCGUGUCUUUUCUAUACUCGUUCAAUUGAGCUCUUCCAUGCUUAGGAUGUUGACUUAAUGGUUUUAAUCGACCCGUCUUGAAACACGGACCAAGGAGUCUAACAUAUAUGCAAGUGUUUGGGUGGCAAACCCAUGCGCGUAAUGAAAGUGAACGUAGGUGCCAUCCGCAAGGUGCAGCAUCGACCGAUCUUGAUAUUUUUGGAUAGAUUUGAAGUAAGAGCAUAUAUGCUGGGACCCGAAAGAUGGUGAACUAUGCCUGAAUAGGGUGAAGCCAGAGGAAACUCUGGUGGAAGGCUCGUAGCGAUUCUGACGUGCAAAUCGAUCGUCAAAUUUGGGUAUAGGGGCGAAAGACUAAUCG